rnacentral:rRNA from 1 species
GAACGAACGCUGGCGGCGUGCCUAACACAUGCAAGUCGAGCGCGAAUGGGGGCAACCCCUAGUAGAGCGGCGCACGGGUGCGUAACACGUGGGUAAUCUGCCUGGGAGACCGGAAUAACCUGCCGAAAGGCAAGCUAAUACCGGGUAAGCCCACGGGCUCUUCGGAGCCUGAGGGAAAAGGUGGCCUCUGUAUACAAGCUAUCACUUCCAGAUGAGCCCGCGUCCCAUCAGUUAGUUGGCGAGGUAAUGGCUCACCAAGACAACGACGGGUAGCUGGUCUGAGAGGACGAUCAGCCACACUGGAACUGAGACACGGUCCAGACUCCUACGGGAGGCAGCAGUGGGGAAUUUUGCACAAUGGGCGAAAGCCUGAUGCAGCAACGCCGCGUGUGUGAUGAAGGUCUUCGGAUUGUAAAGCACUUUCGACCGGGACGAAAACCGGAUGGCUAACAUCCAUCCGCUUGACGGUACCGGGAGAAGAAGCACCGGCUAACUCUGUGCCAGCAGCCGCGGUAA